GACGAACGCUGGCGGCGUGCUUAACACAUGCAGGUCGAGCGGUAAGGCCCUUUCGGGGGUACACGAGCGGCGAACGGGUGAGUAACACGUGGGUGACCUGCCCUUAGCUCUGGGAUAAGCCUGGGAAACUGGGUCUAAUACCGGAUAUGACUCCAUGACGCAUGUUGUGGGGUGGAAAGCCUUGUGCGGCUAGGGAUGGGCCCGCGGCCUAUCAGCUUGUUGGUGGGGUGANGGCCUACCAAGGCGACGACGGGUAGCCGGCCUGAGAGGGCGACCGGCCACACUGGGACUGAGACACGGCCCAGACUCCUACGGGAGGCAGCAGUGGGGAAUCUUGCGCAAUGGGCGAAAGCCUGACGCAGCGACGCCGCGUGGGGAUGACGGCCUCGG
rnacentral:rRNA from 1 species